rfam:Brassica napus, WGS project CCCW01000000 data, contig: 11236
GGAAUAUAAGAACUCGUCUCUUAACUUUUAACUAAAAAAGCUAAGAACCGGUUCUUAGCUUUUUUAGUUAAAAGUUAAGAGACGAGUUCUUAUAUUCC